rnacentral:rRNA from 1 species
AACGAACGCUGGCGGCAUGCCUAACACAUGCAAGUCGAACGAGAUCUUCGGGUCUAGUGGCGCACGGGUGCGUAACGCGCGGGAAUCUGCCCUUUGGUUCGGAAUAACAGUUGGAAACGACUGCUAAUACCGGAUGAUGACGAAAGUCCAAAGAUUUAUCGCCAGAGGAUGAGCCCGCGUAGGAUUAGCCAGUUGGUGUGGUAAAGGCGCACCAAGGCGACGAUCCUUAGCUGGUCUGAGAGGAUGAUCAGCCACACUGGGACUGAGACACGGCCCAGACUCCUACGGGAGGCAGCAGUGGGGAAUAUUGGACAAUGGGCGAAAGCCUGAUCCAGCAAUGCCGCGUGAGUGAUGAAGGCCUUAGGGUUGUAAGCUCUUUUACCCGGGAUGAUAAUGACAGUACCGGGAGAAUAAGCUCCGGCUAACUCCGUGCCAGCCGCCGCGGUAA